rnacentral:rRNA from 1 species
AGCAGCCGCGGUAAUUCCAGCUCCAAUAGCGUAUAUUAAAGUUGUUGCAGUUAAAAAGCUCGUAGUCGAAUUUCGGGAUCAAUGUUUCGGUCAUGCCCUUGGUAUGUAUUGAUAUUAUUGGUUUCUCACCUUCUAGAGAACCGUAAUGCCAUUAAUUUGGCGUCACGGGGAAUUAGGACUGUUACUUUGAAAAAAUUAGAGUGUUUAAAGCAGGCUCACGCUUGAAUACAUUAGCAUGGAAUAAUGAAAUAGGACAUCCGAUUCUAUUUUGUUGGUUUCUAGGAUCGAUGUAAUGAUUAAUAGGGAUAGUUGGGGGCGUUAGUAUUCAAUUGUCAGAGGUGAAAUUCUUGGAUUUAUUGAAGACUAACUACUGCGAAAGCAUUUGCCAAGGAUGUUUUCAUUAAUCAAGAACGAAAGUUAGGGGAUCGAAGACGAUCAGAUACCGUCGUAGUCUUAACCAUAAACUAUGCCGACUAGGGAUCGGAUGAUGUUAAUUUUUUAAUGACUCA